CCUACGGGUGGCAGCAGUGGGGAAUAUUGGACAAUGGGCGAAAGCCUGAUCCAGCCGUGCCGCGUGUGUGAAGAAGGCCUUCGGGUUGUAAAGCACUUUCAGUGGGGAAGAAAGCCUUGGGGCUAAUACCCUCGAGGAAGGACAUCACCCACAGAAGAAGCACCGGCUAACUCCGUGCCAGCAGCCGCGGUAAUACGGAGGGUGCGAGCGUUAAUCGGAAUUACUGGGCGUAAAGCGCGCGUAGGCGGUCUGAUAAGCCGGUUGUGAAAGCCCCGGGCUCAACCUGGGAACGGCAUCCGGAACUGUCAGGCUAGAGUGCAGGAGAGGAAGGUAGAAUUCCCGGUGUAGCGGUGAAAUGCGUAGAGAUCGGGAGGAAUACCAGUGGCGAAGGCGGCCUUCUGGACUGACACUGACGCUGAGGUGCGAAAGCGUGGGUAGCAAACAGGAUUAGAUACCCGUGUAGUC
rnacentral:rRNA from 1 species